AGAGUUUGAUCAUGGGUCAAAUUGAACGCUGGGGGCAGGCCUAACACAUGCAAGUCGAGCGGAUGACGGGAGCUUGCUCCUUGAUUCAGCGGCGGACGGGUGAGUAAUGCCUAGGAAUCUGCCUGGUAGUGGGGGACAACGUUUCGAAAGGAACGCUAAUACCGCAUACGUCCUACGGGAGAAAGCAGGGGACCUUCGGGCCUUGCGCUAUCAGAUGAGCCUAGGUCGGAUUAGCUUGUUGGUGAGGUAAUGGCUCACCAAGGCGACGAUCCGUAACUGGUCUGAGAGGAUGAUCAGUCACACUGGAACUGAGACACGGUCCAGACUCCUACGGGAGGCAGC
rnacentral:rRNA from 1 species